rnacentral:rRNA from 1 species
CCUAGUGGUGAUAGCGGAGAGGAAACACCCGUUCCCAUCCCGAACACGGAAGUUAAGCUCUCCAGCGCCGAUGGUAGUUGGGGCCAGCGCCCGGA